CCUCUGCACUAACAAGAUGUCUAAAAACAUCUAGGAUGCACAAUGUGGAUCUAAUAUGGGUCUUACAACAUAUAAUACAUAGUUUCAAAGGUGUUACACCAUUGUGUUGUCGAUGGCAUCUAUUUUUUGACAAUUAAAACUAAAAAAACGUAAAUGGGCUGAGCCUGUGGUUCGAAUCCAGCCGACGGCAUCUAUUUUUUGACAAUUAAAACUAAAAAAACGUAAAUGGGCUGAGCCCAUCAGGGAUGGCUGUUCGUCGGGUAUUAUAAGAACCUGCAGCGUAUAUACGUUCUAUGUGAGCAGUUUUAAGAUGGUCCCUCUUACCCCCGCUUUUCACAUGAGAGGUAAGAGUAUAAAAUAGAUCUGAGCCAUUGAUCUCAUUAAUUAAUGGCCUGAUUAACUCUUACCUUCUUACCUCACAUGUAAAAAGAGGAGGUAAGAGGGACCAUGCUAAAAUUUGCCGUUCUAUGUAGGAAAGUGAAUACAAUUUGUGAAAAAUCCAUACUACCCUUUAUACGUUUUAUGAGGGGGGGGGGGAGGGGGGGUGUACCGAAGCACUUCUCAUAUAUUAAUAUCAAGUAGAUAGCAAUCACACUCAGCCUCUGCACUAACAAGAUGUCUAAAAACAUCUAGGAUGCACAAUGUGGAUCUAAUAUGGGUCUUACAACAUAUAAUACAUAGUUUCAAAGGUGUUACACCAUUGUGUUGUCGAAUGCGUGACACAAAGAUGAAAGAUCAGAAGCGAAUCACUUGCACCUACAAUUUUUUGGCACGCAUGCAACGUACCAGGCACAAACAAAGGACUACGACACAAGCACCAGGCAACUCAACACGCAUGUACAAUGCACAAAAUACAGAAACUUGCAUUGUC
rnacentral:lncRNA from 1 species